UAUAUCUCUUGGGUGGCCUGGGAACGCCUUGGUUCCACUGGACAAGCUGGAGGAGGUGGCCGAGGAGAAGGAGGUCUGGGCUUCUCUGCUUGGGCUGCUCCCCCUCAUGUUAAAAGGGACUUUUUCCUUCACUCUGUUGCUAAAGUGCUUGCUUAUAGGGUGUCAUAUGAUAGAUGUUUUGGGUUUUUUUGUCUUUAUGUAUUAUUGUAGGGUCUACCUUACAAUAGAAAGUCCCUUGAGGGGACUGUUGUUGUGAUCUGGCAUGUAUAAAUAAAUUUGAAUUGAACUGAAUUGAACUAAAUCUCUAGCUUCAAUAGUAGCUUUCUUCAAUUCAUGUUAUUUCUUUAAUUUAUUUACAGUGAAACAAUAGAGUGUCAAAUCACAGAUACGUCCAUUAUACGUUUAUUGCUUGAAACCAGAGGACAAGGGCUAUAAUCCAAACAUCAGAAACAUGCAUUACUGGUGUAAACCAUAAAAGGGGAGCAAAGCUUACUUUUUGUAUCCAAAUAAAAAUAUCGGUCUUGGUGGUUUACAGAUGCUUACAGCACAUGCAUAACAAAGAACAACCUUUUUAUUCUGGAUCCACCUGAGAUUAUAGCAGAAUAUGAAGGAAAACCUCUCACUGUAAACUGCACCAUCACAUUGGAUGAACAUGAGUGGAUGUACUAGACAGUUGGAAAUGAAAUCUUUCAGAUCGAAGAUGAAGGAAUGUUUAUCUCCCACUCAGUGCCACUGUCAGACUGGAAUGAGAAGGCCAAGUGCAAAAUAAAGUUAAAUGAGUUUCACGAAGUCAGCAAGGACUUUCAAGUUAUUGUAUUUAAGAAUCCAGAAGCUGAUGAUUCUGUACAGCAUGUGAAUGUGAUGGGAGAAGAAACACAGAAUUGGCUGCAGUGUGACAUCAUUAACACUAGGUAUUUGUUGCUCUGACAAAUACCUGACUGUUAGCUGGUACAAAAACAAUGUAAAAAAUGCAGACAGAAUCUUUCAAUGACACAAUAAAAACACCAGUAAAUGAGUCCUCUAUUGAGUCAACCUCAGAAGAGAAAAAUUUAGUUGAGAUGGGAUGUGAUAUGUGAAGCUCAGCUGGACUUUGGCCCAUACAGACCAAAAUGUCACGUUUUUUCUCAAACACACAGAGUUUCAGCAGACUGCAAGUAAACAUCCUGGUUGUCUAUACAGAAAGAGAGAUAUUUAAUUAAAAUUGUUAGCAUAGAUUAAAGAACACGAAUAGUCUCAAUAGCAUGUGAGUAAAUUGCAAGACUGCCAAUUGUCUGAGAAACAUAACCGAGACAAUCCACGUUUACAAAUGGUAGAAAAAACAUGGUCAUUACACUGUUUCUCCUGACAAAGGGCCAGUUGGUUACGAGAUCCCUUUGACAUCAAUCAGUGCAAAUGCUUAGGACACUUGCUGCAUCUGAACUGCAGCUUAAUGACAUUUGUAACCUAACUAUUUGUCUUGCAUUUCAUUUAUGGUUUACUUGUUUUUCCUUAAAGCUGAUUUUCAGUCUUGAAACGUUGGAUGUGUAUGUUGGAUGGCAUUACUGCAACCUAAACAAGUUAAAUAAAGUAGAUUAUUUGAAGCUGUAAAAAAAUAAUUUUGAGUGGUUAAUCGUUUCAAUCACACAGUAAGUGUCUGCAAGCAUCAGUCAGAGAGUUAUUUAAUGUUGGAAUUUAAACUCCUGGCAGGAUUCAUGUGGGGAAGUGUGAGAUGGUCAAUUGGGGAAGCACAGAAUUCCCUGAGUGUGUCGGCUGUGGAACAUGCACUUCUUGCAUAAAUGUAUCACUUUAACCAUUUAAGGGAUUCAGGAUGAAGCACAGUCUCCUAGCUAGUCUCUGUGUGGUUUAGGGUGAUGUCCCUUUAAGAUUUAUAAGGAUCUGGGAGUGGCGUGGAUAGGAAACCUAUUUUUAUCCCAUAUUUCCUUCCUUAUGUUAAUUAACCAGACCCAGACUAACGAAUUACAGCCCAAAUUAAAAGUUUGAGCAUUCUGAUUCAGUAUAUAUGCACAAAAAGAAAAGGUGGAGCAGAGAAGUAUUCACAUUUUGACCUUUUGGGAUAACUUUGGAAAAGUAUUUGGAAUAAUCUGACAGUUUAACCAACAAGCUGAAUAUUUGAUUUGGACAUAGAUCACUGGGUGCUGCAAAUCUUUGUACACUGAGGCUGAUCUAGGUCAGACUGGACCUGUAUAUAUCCAACUACAGUUUCAUUGUAGUUGGAUAUAUACAACUGUGUCUAUGAAUGCAAAACUGUGCAUUCAUAACUUCGUAACUGCCAUUUUAAUGAUUAUCAGCUGAGGACCUUCAAUGAUAAUUUUGACUCCUGUGCCUCACAACAUCUAAUGCAAAUCCUGAAACUGAACUUUUUCUGGAUGUUCCUGAAUGACACCUCAUCUCCUCCAUCCACCUCCAUCAUCCUGCAUGCUGUCUGCCACAAUGCUGGGCUUCCUCAUGCUCAUCUUUUCACUGUGUGGUGAGUGCUGAAGACAUCUCUGUGGAUCUGACAUACUGUGUAUUAAUUUAUUUAAUAAUGGUUAGAGACAAAACUUUUAACUUUCCCUUUUAACUUCACGCUUAGUUUAUUGUUGGAAAUUUAAUUUCAAUGGCCUCCACGAGUUACAAGUAAAGGUAACUGGAAAAAGCAAAAAUAAAAAUAAUGAUUUGUAAAUGGACUGGUUCUUAUAUAGCGCUUUUCCACACUUCUGAGCACUCAAAGCGCUUUACACAACUUGUGCA